AGAAAUUUCUUACAUAU
rnacentral:sRNA from 1 species